rnacentral:rRNA from 1 species
AUGACUAAGAGUCAUCGCGGCAAGCUCUACAUCGACGAUGCAGGAUGGAUCCCCGAGGCCGGCUCAAUUGAGUACGGGUACCGGGUCCCCUUUGGCGGAAUUCACGUCUUCAUCGACAAGAUCGUGAACCGGGCCCUGAGCCGGACAUCUGCACCGACAUCAUCGAGACGGCUCAGCGUGCUGAUACGUCCAUUUUGCAUCAUGCUUUUAUAUCGAUAUUUAUUGCAUUAUGGGUUGUUAUUACACAUUAUGUCACAAUACUUAUGCAUAUUCUCUCUUAUUUUACAAGGUUUACAUGAAGAGGGGGAAUGCCGGCACUGGGAUUCUGGGUUGGAAAAGGAGCAAAUAUUAGAGACCUAUUCUGCACAGCUCCAAAAGUCCUGA